rnacentral:lncRNA from 1 species
CCCAUAUUUAAACUUUUUUCUCAUAGGAAAGCUACAGGAAUUUUAAGAUAUCACAUGGUUACAUUUGCUUUUCUUCCAGAUGGAGCUAAAUUGCUAUAUGAUACAGGGUUUAUUUUAUAUUUCUCAUAUUAAAGAUGAAAAAGUGAAAAUUGAGUAGUUGACUCAAAAUUAUAUGUAUAUAUAUAUAUAUGUUAACAGUUGAAUACAAACAAGAUUACAAGCAGUGAAACAUUCAAAUAGUUUUGGCAACUCCAAAUAUUUUGUGUUUCACAAAAGGAGUUAGGUUAACUUUUCCAAAUAUAACUCAUUUUAUACUAUUUUAAUAAGGAGAAACUUAAGGAUGAGAAGGCAUGAGGAAAAGUAUACAUUAGUGAAAGCUAUAUACUAAAGCAGACCUUCAACAACAGCUCAUAACUAAUAAAUGCUUUGUAUUUUGUUUUCAAGCAGUUAUGUAAAUCAAUUUGGUGAUUUCUUACACUGUACUUACAUUUACUUGACCCAAAUUGCCGUAUCAAUCACAUCUCCUAUCCCUUUUGCAGUUCCAGGUUGGAAUCAGUAUUUCAAAUAAAGUAGGGACACAUCUAAAAUAUUUGUGUAUCGGUAAAGGUGUUUCUGGCUAUUUAAACUCAAGCAUCCUUUGCCACAGUAGUAUCUCCGUUUUGCACGGUACUACUGUCUCUCAAACCAGUUACAUCUGAAAACCAGCAAUUACUAGUCUUAGUUAAUUACAAAAAAAAAAAAAAAUUAAGCGAUCUAGGCAGUGAGCAUUUUUCCAUACCUUUAUGUGGGCAUAUGAGAAUCAUUACUUCUUACUAUAGGCAGUUGCUUAUGUUCCCAGACAUUAUUAGAAUAGCAGUUCUAGAAGAGUAGCCAUGUGGAAAUUUACAAGUGAUUCUUGUAAACUUUGAAAAUUAUUGAUGUUUUUGGAAACUAGGCUGAUCUACUUUAAUUGUUUAUGUUUAUUGUAAGAUAACAUGCUCUUUGGGCAUUAUUAGACCAGUCUCUACCUUGAGAUACUAAGUUAAUUACAUGAGGUGUUAAAUGGAAGUAAUGAUGUUAGUUGAAAAUCGCAAGAAGUGUUUUUCUGAAUUGUGUGCCCAUUUGCCUUAACUUUUUCUAGUAUUAGUUGCCUCAGGCCGUGACUCUUCAACUCUGUAAUACUUGAUACUGUAUCAGGUAUCUUGUGGGUAGAGAAUAUAGGGAUUGCCAAAACUUUUGAAACAUAGGUACCUUUUCUUUGUACUUUCCAUCUUCUUUUCCCCUAAGUAGAAGGUUCUUUCCCAUUGCUUUGUUUAUAUUAGGCAUUCAAGUAAUUGCUAAUUGGUCUUGAUGUGAAAUAGUUAUAUGCUAGAGAUUUCCCUUCAUACAGAUACCUGUUUUUACUGCCUAAUCAUCACAAGAGAACUUUGUGUCAUUUAUCUGAUGCCACAAAUAGAAGACUACUCAUGUCAAAAUAGCCGUAUUAAUGGUGUUAGAAAAAGUGAAGCAUUAUGUAGCUAAAGGUUAAUUUAUAUUCAUCUGAUAGUUAUUCCUGUGAUGUGAUUUGGUGGAAAGAGUUCUUUGGAAGUUAU